ACUGAGCAACACAACUUGGAGAGUGCUGAGCAUUGUCUGCAGGUAAUACAAUGAGACAUAAGAACCUCAACCUCACUUUUAAAGAGUGCUGCAUUUCUUUUUGAGUUCCCAGAAUUAAAUGCUGACUUAUUUUAUAUUACUAUAGGAAGAGGAGUUUUUGCCACACACCCCAUUGAACCAGGGGACUUCGUCUUGGAGUAUUGGGGUAAACUCCUGACACAGGAAGAAUGCCGGUCAAGACAAUACUCAAAGAUUGAAAGCACAUUUCUCUUUGACUUUGAGUAUCGGAACAAUCGCCUGUGCCUGGAUGCAUCUGAAGAAGAUGGAUCUCUCGGACGACUAGUCAAUGACAACCACAAAAAUCCAAAUUGUGCCAUGAAAAAAAUCAUAGUUGACGACAAGCCACUCUUGUGCCUUUUUUCUCUUAAGAAAAUAGGAAUAGGAGAUGAAACUGAUUAUGACUAUGGUAAAGCAAAAUGGCCUUGGCGUACUGAGGUGAAAAAAAACCCAAGCUCCUGCAGCAACAGAAGAAAAGCUAUUGAGUGGUAAAGACCAGGUGAAAGGCCUUCAGACUCCUGCAGCAGCAGUUGAGAAUGAGACCAGCCCUGUUCCUAUGACGUUAAAUGAUGGGCCAAUCCCAGAUGAUCC